UCCUGCAACUGGGGCAGGCACAGCUAGACCCCAGGCAGCCGGUGGCAGGUCGUCAAGUUUGCUUCUCAUUGGAACACACGGUCUGUCUUAGCCACCAGGAGAGGACGGGUCAGGGGCCACGGUGACUGCUUCCAGGCUGACCCGAAGGGGGAGGACUUUCCUGAGCAUCUUUCCGCUUGGCCCCUCACCUGAUCCUCCCCAGAGCACUGCCAGGACGUAAGGUGUCGGUAAACUUGGAGUGUUGAUUGAGGUCGGGAAGUUCAAGUGCACGACGUCCCAGCAGAUCUCAGCUUCCACAGCCAGCCAUGUGCUGCUCUUACCUGUAUUCCUUCUUGUCUCCCAGGUGGGCAUACCAAGGCAGAGAGACUGGCCCCCUAGAAGAUGGAUUCCUGAACCGGUCCAGCUGAGGGCAUCAUGGACUCGCUGGGGUGUGGUAGAAAGAGCACUGGACCAACCGUUAGAAGAAUGGGGUAAAAUUCAUCCUCUUCCAUCUUUUUGGCUUGUGGGCAAGUCACUGAGCCUUGGUUUCCACAGUUCCAAGGUUGAAUGGGAAUUGGCAUCCUCUGCCUCCCCAGCAGAGGAUGCCCAGAUGGAGGGUGCUACUGAGGUCACAGAUGUGGAAAUCCUCGAAACCAGCAGGGCUGGGUAGCUGGAUAUGUCCUCUUCUUGUCCUGAAAGCCCUGCACACUCUGUGAUUUCUGCUGCCUGACCUCACUGUCCAAGUCUGCCU
ensembl:lncRNA